GACGAACGCUGGCGGCGUGCCUAAUACAUGCAAGUAGAACGCACAGUUUAUACCGUAGCUUGCUACACCAUAGACUGUGAGUUGCGAACGGGUGAGUAACGCGUAGGUAACCUGCCUGGUAGCGGGGGAUAACUAUUGGAAACGAUAGCUAAUACCGCAUAAUAUUAAUUAUUGCAUGAUAAUUAAUUGAAAGGUGCAAUUGCACCACUACCAGAUGGACCUGCGUUGUAUUAGCUAGUAGGUGAGGUAACGGCUCACCUAGGCGACGAUACAUAGCCGACCUGAGAGGGUGAUCGGCCACACUGGGACUGAGACACGGCCCAGACUCCUACGGGAGGCAGCAGUAGGGAAUCUUCGGCAAUGGACGAAAGUCUGACCGAGCAACGCCGCGGGAGUGAAGAAGGGUUUCGGAUCGUAAAGCUCUGUUGUAAGAGAAGAACGGGUGUGAGAGUGGAAAGUUCACACUGUGACGGUAUCUUACCAGAAAGGGACGGCUAACUACGUG
rnacentral:rRNA from 1 species